AGAGUUUGAUCCUGGCUCAGGAUGAACGCUGGCGGCGUGCUUAACACAUGCAAGUCGAACGGACUUAAUAUGAAACCUAGUGAUUAUUAAGUUAGUGGCGGACGGGUGAGUAACGCGUGGGUAACCUGCCGUAUACCGGGGGAUAACACUUAGAAAUAGGUGCCAAUACCGCAUAAGCGCACAGGAUCGCAUGAUCCAGUGCGAAAAACUCCGGUGGUAUAUGAUGGACCCGCGUCUGAUUAGCCAGUUGGCAGGGUAACGGCCUACCAAAGCGACGAUCAGUAGCCGGCCUGAGAGGGUGAACGGCCACAUUGGGACUGAGACACGGCCCAAACUCCUACGGGAGGCAGCAGUGGGGGAUAUUGCACAAUGGGGGAAACCCUGAUGCAGCGACGCCGCGUGAGUGAAGAAGUAUUUCGGUAUGUAAAGCUCUAUCAGCAGGGACGAAAAUGACGGUACCUGAGUAAGAAGCCCCGGCUAACUACGUGCCAGCAGCCGCGGUAAUACGUAGGGGGCAAGCGUUAUCCGGAUUUACUGGGUGUAAAGGGAGCGUAGACGGUUAAGCAAGUCUGGAGUGAAAGGCGGGGGCUCAACCCCCGGACUGCUCUGGAAACUGUGUAACUAGAGUGCAGGAGGGGUAAGUGGAAUUCCUAGUGUAGCGGUGAAAUGCGUAGAUAUUAGGAGGAACACCAGUGGCGAAGGCGGCUUACUGGACUGUAACUGACGUUGAGGCUCGAAAGCGUGGGGAGCAAACAGGAUUAGAUACCCUGGUAGUCCACGCCGUAAACGAUGGAUACUAGGUGUGGGGGGACUGACCCCCUCCGUGCCGCAGCUAACGCAAUAAGUAUCCCACCUGGGGAGUACGAUCGCAAGGUUGAAACUCAAAGGAAUUGACGGGGGCCCGCACAAGCGGUGGAGUAUGUGGUUUAAUUCGAAGCAACGCGAAGAACCUUACCAGGGCUUGACAUCCUACUAACGAACCAGAGAUGGAUUAGGUGCCCUUCGGGGAAAGUAGAGACAGGUGGUGCAUGGUUGUCGUCAGCUCGUGUCGUGAGAUGUUGGGUUAAGUCCCGCAACGAGCGCAACCCCUAUUGUUAGUUGCUACGCAAGAGCACUCUAGCGAGACUGCCGUUGACAAAACGGAGGAAGGUGGGGACGACGUCAAAUCAUCAUGCCCCUUACGUCCUGGGCCACACACGUACUACAAUGGCGGCCAACAAAGAGAGGCGAGACCGCGAGGUGGAGCAAAUCUCAAAAAGCCGUCCCAGUUCGGAUCGCAGGCUGCAACCCGCCUGCGUGAAGUUGGAAUCGCUAGUAAUCGCGGAUCAGCAUGCCGCGGUGAAUACGUUCCCGGGCCUUGCACACACCGCCCGUCA
rnacentral:rRNA from 1 species